rnacentral:rRNA from 1 species
AUUGAACGCUGGCGGCAUGCCUUACACAUGCAAGUCGAACGGCAGCACGGGAGCUUGCUCCUGGUGGCGAGUGGCGAACGGGUGAGUAAUACAUCGGAACGUACCCUGAAGUGGGGGAUAACGUAGCGAAAGUUACGCUAAUACCGCAUAUUCUGUGAGCAGGAAAGAGGGGGAUCGCAAGACCUCUUGCUUUAGGAGCGGCCGAUGUCGGAUUAGCUAGUUGGUGAGGUAAAGGCUCACCAAGGCGACGAUCCGUAGCUGGUCUGAGAGGAUGAUCAGCCACACUGGGACUGAGACACGGCCCAGACUCCUACGGGAGGCAGCAGUGGGGAAUUUUGGACAAUGGGGGGCAACCCUGAUCCAGCCAUGCCGCGUGAGUGAAGAAGGCCUCGGUUGUAAGCUUUUCGGUACGGUAAAGAAAUACGACGCAGGUAAAGUAAUACUGCGUGGAUGACGGUACCGUAAGAAGAAG